GUGUGUGUGUGUGUGUGUGUGUGUGUACGUGGUCUCUGGCAGGCAUGGAGAUGCGCGUGCACGCGCGCGUAUAAAAGCGAAAAAGCGACUCGCCUGUGGCGCAAGCGCGAAAGCAAAAGCUUUUUCGAGCGAACGAGCCCCGCGUGGAGGAGAGAGAGGAGAGACGGUAGUGUGCCGAUGAUCAGAUACAUCGGAUUCAGUGGCGGCACGGGCGUAGGGAACAAGUCGAGUAACAGCUUCCCACCAGUCACUCAGUCACUCACGAUCGGCUAGUCAGUCACGGCAGUCACGCGCCGACCGUGUCAGACGCACGCUGGUCCGUUGGUUUCGCGUGGAAAGAGGUCGGCGGUCAAAUAGAGAAACGCCGAAAUACAAAACGGGUUCGCUGCUGGAUUGUUUCGAAUCAUUGUCGUUACACGUUCGCGACCUGUGCGCGCGUACUAUCGCCGCCCGGUGUUGCUCCGGCGUUGUCGCCCGCCGACAUUUUUUCUUCGUCGUCGUGGCAACCCGCCGUCGCACCGUCGUCGUUUGUGUCAUUAUCGUCGCUGUUACCGUCCGCGAACCGCGGCGGCCCUCUUUUGUAAUCGUCGUCGUUGUCGCCGGCGCGUCGCACGCCGUCGCACGCUCGAGGAGGGAAACACGAGAGGAAACGAUAGGGAAAAGAAGGAAGGAAGAAAGAAAGAAAGAAAGAAAGAAAGAAACAAACAAAGAAAGCGAGAAGAAUCGAAGAAUGAUGGUGAGGAGGGACGGCGCGCAGUGUCGUAGAGAGUGCAGAAAGUUUUGUGCAGUGAACGUUCGUUAAUAGAGCAGAGUGGCCGCGAGCGACGAACUGAGACAGAGAAACGCUCGUCUGUACCACGUUUGCACGGUGUGCCCGAGUAAAACGGAACGGACGAUCUGCGAGGAACAGAGCUCCAGAGAGUGAGAAAGAGAUAGAAAUAGUAAAAAUACGGGAGAGAUAGAGAGAAACUUAGCCGACGCGUUGAGAAGCCACCACCCGUGUGUGCACACCGAGUGCCCUCAACACCGUGAGCGCGACAGAAAGAGAAGGGACAAAGAAUUGAGAACGAGAAGAGUGGAUAUUUUUCUUUUCGGAAGAAUAUAACAUCGUCGUCGCGUGAUUUUUUUUUUUUUUCCUUUUUAAACUAUUUAUCAAAGAUGUAUCUCCACGGCAGUUUGAUGCCGAUUUUGUUGGCCGUCCUCUCCUGCGCCGUGAUGGUUCGUGGACGCAGGAUCACACCCUUGAUCGAGGAGGACUGGGCAAAGAGGCCUCAUCGUGCCGCCGAAUGCACGUUCGGCAAGCAGAUACGGGAACUGGGCUCCACCUGGUUCGCGGAUUUAGGCCCGCCCUUUGGAGUCAUGUACUGCAUCAAAUGCGAAUGCAUUCCGGUAC